rnacentral:rRNA from 1 species
UACGGAGGGAGCUAGCGUUGUUCGGAAUUACUGGGCGUAAAGCGCGCGUAGGCGGCUUUGUAAGUUAGAGGUGAAAGCCCGGGGCUCAACCCCGGAACUGCCUUUAAAACUGCAUCGCUUGAAUCCGGGAGAGGUGAGUGGAAUUCCGAGUGUAGAGGUGAAAUUCGUAGAUAUUCGGAAGAACACCAGUGGCGAAGGCGGCUCACUGGUCCGGUACUGACGCUGAGGUGCGAAAGCGUGGGGAGCAACAGGG